rnacentral:rRNA from 1 species
CCUACGGGUGGCAGCAGUGAGGAAUAUUGGACAAUGGGCGAGAGCCUGAACCAGCCAAGUCGCGUGAAGGAUGACGGCCCUACGGGUUGUAAACUUCUUUUGUCAGGGAGCAAUUGAGUCCACGUGUGGUCUUAGCGAGAGUACCUGAAGAAACAGCAUCGGCUAACUCCGUGCCAGCAGCCGCGGUAAUACGGAGGAUGUGAGCGUUAUCCGGAUUUAUUGGGUUUAAAGGGUGCGUAGGCGGGCAUUUAGGCCGACGGGCAAAUGUCGGGGCUCAACCCCGGCCUGCCGUGGGAACUGGGUGGCUUGAGUGGGCGAGAGGUAUGCGGAAUGCGUGGUGUAGCGGUGAAAUGCAUAGAUAUCACGCAGAACCCCGAUGGCGAAGGCAGCAUACCGGCGCCCUACUGACGCUGAGGCACGAAAGUGCGGGGAUCGAACAGGAUUAGAUACCCGGGUAGUC